GUGCUUAACACAUGCAAGUCGAACGGAAAGGCCAGUGCUUGCACUGGUACUCGAGUGGCGAACGGGUGAGUAACACGUGGGUGAUCUGCCUUGCACUCUGGGAUAAGCUUGGGAAACUGGGUCUAAUACCGGAUAUGAGCCGCUUUUAGUGUGGUGGUUGGAAAGUUUUUUCGGUGCAAGAUGAGCUCGCGGCCUAUCAGCUUGUUGGUGGGGUAAUGGCCUACCAAGGCGUCGACGGGUAGCCGGCCUGAGAGGGUGUACGGCCACAUUGGGACUGAGAUACGGCCCAGACUCCUACGGGAGGCAGCAGUGGGGAAUAUUGCACAAUGGGCGGAAGCCUGAUGCAGCGACGCCGCGUGGGGGAUGACGGCCUUCGGGUUGUAAACUCCUUUCGACAGGGACGAAGC
rnacentral:rRNA from 1 species